GACCUCUUAGCUCAGUGGUAGAGCGUGAGAUUCCAGUUUGGGACCUCCUCAAGGUCGUCCGUUCAAUCCGGGCAGGGGUCA
rnacentral:tRNA from 1 species